rnacentral:rRNA from 1 species
CCUACGGGCGGCACCAGUGGGGAGUAUUGCACAAUGGGCGCAAGCCUGAUGCAGCCAUGCCGCGUGUAUGAAGAAGGCCCUAGGGUUGUAAAGUACUUUCAGUCGGGAGGAAGGCGUUGAUGCUAAUAUCAUCAGCGAUUGACGUUACCGACAGAAGAAGCACCGGCUAACUCCGUGCCAGCAGCCGCGGUAAUACGGAGGGUGCAAGCGUUAAUCGGAAUUACUGGGCGUAAAGCGCACGCAGGCGGUUGAUUAAGUUAGAUGUGAAAUCCCCGGGCUUAACCUGGGAAUGGCAUCUAAGACUGGUCAGCUAGAGUCUUAUAGAGGGGGGUAGAAUUCCAGGUGUAGCGGUGAAAUGCGUAGAGAUCUGGAGGAAUACCGGUGGCGAAGGCGGCCCCUGGACAAAGACUGACGCUCAGGUGCGAAAGCGUGGGGAGCAAACAGGAUUAGAUACCCGGGUAGUC